rnacentral:rRNA from 1 species
AGCAACGCCGCGUGCGGGAUGACGGCCUUCGGGUUGUAAACCGCUUUCGCCUGUGACGAAGCGUGAGUSACGGUAAUGGGUAAAGAAGCACCGGCUAACUACGUGCCAGCAGCCGCGGUGAUACGUAGGGUGCGAGCGUUGUCCGGAUUURUUGGGCGUAAAGGGCUCGUAGGUGGUUGAUCGCGUCGGARGUGUAAUCU